GAUCAAAAGGCAUUGCCAAAUAAAGAAAAACCACAUUACAUAAAUUACAGCAUAACUAUCACUUACUAAGAUACAAACAGCACAGGCAUGUUUAGCUCAUAGUAAUCUUGGCUUCCAUGUAAAAUCAGCAACUAAGAUACAGACAGGAAAUGCAUGUUUAACUUAUAGCAAAUUGUUAACAUAUAUUACAGGACUUGCUCAAACAAGGCAGAAAAGCAACUUAUAUUUGUUCAUUUUGUUUUCUUGAAAAAUCAAGGAACAAUUUGAACUUGUUUAUCUGCUUGACU
rnacentral:misc_RNA from 1 species